UACGAAGGGGGCUAGCGUUGCUCGGAAUCACUGGGCGUAAAGCGCACGUAGGCGGCUUUUUAAGUCAGGGGUGAAAUCCCGGGGCUCAACCCCGGAACUGCCUUUGAUACUGGGUAUCUCGAGUCCGAGAGAGGUGAGUGGGAAUUCCAGUGUAGAGGUGAAAUUCGUAGAUAUUCGGAGGAACACCAGUGGCGAAGGCGGCUCACUGGCUCGGUACUGACGCUGAGGUGCGAAAGCGUGGGGGAGCAAACGG
rnacentral:rRNA from 1 species